rnacentral:tRNA from 1 species
GACCGAGUGCCCGAGUGGUGAGGGAGCCGCCUGCAAAGCGGUCUACCCGGGUUCGAUUCCCGGUUCGGUCU